GACGAACGCUGGCGGCGUGCCUAAUACAUGCAAGUCGAACGCAGUGGGGACGGGUGAGUAACACGUGGGUAACCUCCCAUCAGAGGGGAUAACACUUGGCAACAGGUGCUAAACCGAUACUGAUGGAUGGACCCGCGGUGCAUUAGCUAGUUGGUGAGGUACCGGCUCACCAAGGCCACGAUGCAUAGCGGGCCUGAGAGGGUGAUCAGCCACACGGGGACUGAGACACGGCCCAGACUCCUACGGGAGGCAGCAGUAGGGAAUCUUCGGCAAUGGACGAAAGUCUGACCGAGCAAAGCCGCGUGAAUGAAGAAGGUUUUCGGGUCGUAAAACUCUGUUGUUAGAGAAGCGGUAUCUAACCAAGAAGCCACGGCUAACUACGUGCCAGCAGCCGCGGUAAUAC
rnacentral:rRNA from 1 species